UUGGAAAUGGGGGACAAACCGUGGGAAACUACGGCUAAUACCGCAUGAUGCCUGAGGGCCAAAGACGAAAGUCGUUUGAGGAGGAGCCUGCGUCUGAUUAGGUAGUUGGUGGGUAAAGGCCUACCAAGCCUACGAUCAGUAGCUGGUCUGAGAGGAUGAUCAGCCACAUUGGGACUGAGACACGGCCCAAACGUCCUACGGGAGGCAGGCAGUGGGGAAUAUUGGACAAUGGGCGCAAGCCUGAUCCAGCAAUGCCGCGUGGGUGAAGAAGGUCUUCGGAUUGUAAAGCCCUUUUGGCGGGGACGAUGAUGACGGUACCCGCAGAAUAAGCUCCGGCUAACUACGUG
rnacentral:rRNA from 1 species